rnacentral:lncRNA from 1 species
CUCCAGACACAUAAAAGAGUUCACACUGGAGAGAAACCCUACAAAUGUAAUGAAUGUGAUAAAGCCUUUUCAAGACCCAGUAGCCUCCAGACACAUAAAAGAGUUCACACUGGAGAGAAACCCUACAAAUGUAAUGAAUGUGAUAAAACCUUUUCACGACCCAGUAGCCUCCAGAAGCAUAAAAGAGUUCACACUGGAGAGAAACCCUACAAAUGUAAUGAAUGUGAUAAAGCCUUUUCACGACGCAGUAGCCUCCAGAAGCAUAAAAGAGUUCACACUGGAGAGAAACCCUACAAAUGCAAUGAAUGUGAUAAAGCCUUUUCACGACCCAGUUGACUCCAGCA